GGAUAACAUUUGCAAACAGAUGCUAAUACCCUAUAACAACUUUUACCGCAUGGUAAAACUUUAAAAGAUGGUUCUGCUAUCACUAAUAAAUGGUCUCGCGGUGUUUUACCUAAAUGGUGAGGUAAUGGCUCAC
rnacentral:rRNA from 1 species